rnacentral:ncRNA from 1 species
UACCUGAUUGAUUCUGUCAGCGCGAUAUGCUCAAGUAAAAGAUUAAGCCAUGCAUGCUUUGAUUCAUAAAUGAAAUUGCGUACGGCUCAUUAGAGCAGAUAUCACCUUUCUCGGAAUCCUGAAAAGGAUAACUGCGGAAAUUCUGGAGCUAAUACAUGCGGCUAUACUCCAACGCAAGGCGGGGUGCAAUUAUUAGAACAGACCAAACGUUUUCGGACGUUGUUUGUUGACUCUGAAUACCGUCGUUUACUGUCAGUUUCGACUGACUCUAUCCGAGAAGGGUGUCUGCCCUUUCAACUAGAUGGUAAUCUAUUGGACUACCAUGGUUGUUACGGGUAACGGAGAAUUAGGGUUCGACUCCGGAGAGGGAGCCUUAGAAACGGCUACCACGUCCAAGGAAGGCAGCAGGCGCGAAACUUAUCCACUGUUGAGUAUGAGAUAGUGACUAAAAAUAUAAAGACUCAUCCUUUUGGAUGAGUUAUUUCAAUGAGUUGAAUAUAAAUUAUUCUUCGAGUAGCAAGGAGAGGGCAAGUCUGGUGCCAGCAGCCGCGGUAAUUCCAGCUCUCCUAGUGUAUCUCGUUAUUGCUGCGGUUAAAAAGCUCGUAGUUGGAUCUAGGUUACGUGCCGCAGUUCGCAAUUUGCGUUAACUGUGGUCGUGACUUCUAAUUUGCUGGUUUGAGGUUGGGUUCGCCCUUCAACUGCCAGCAGGUUUACCUUGAAUAAAUCAGAGUGCUCAAUACAGGCGCUUGCUUGAAUAGCUC